UGAACGCUGGCGGCAGGCCUAACACAUGCAAGUCGAGCGGUAGCACAGAGAGCUUGCUCUCGGGUGACGAGCGGCGGACGGGUGAGUAAUGUCUGGGAAACUGCCUGAUGGAGGGGGAUAACUACUGGAAACGGUAGCUAAUACCGCAUAACGUCGCAAGACCAAAGUGGGGGACCUUCGGGCCUCAUGCCAUCAGAUGUGCCCAGAUGGGAUUAGCUAGUAGGUGGGGUAACGGCUCACCUAGGCGACGAUCCCUAGCUGGUCUGAGAGGAUGACCAGCCACACUGGAACUGAGACACGGUCCAGACUCCUACGGGAGGCAGCAGUGGGGAAUAUUGCACAAUGGGCGCAAGCCUGAUGCAGCCAUGCCGCGUGUGUGAAGAAGGCCUUCGGGUUGUAAAGCACUUUCAGCGGGGAGGAAGGCGGUGAGGUUAAUAACCUCAUCGAUUGACGUUACCCGCAGAAGAAGCACCGGCUAACUCCGUGCCAGCAGCCGCGGUAAUACGGAGGGUGCAAGCGUUAAUCGGAAUUACUGGGCGUAAAGCGCACGCAGGCGGUCUGUCAAGUCGGAUGUGAAAUCCCCGGGCUCAACCUGGGAACUGCAUUCGAAACUGGCAGGCUAGAGUCUUGUAGAGGGGGGUAGAAUUCCAGGUGUAGCGGUGAAAUGCGUAGAGAUCUGGAGGAAUACCGGUGGCGAAGGCGGCCCCCUGGACAAAGACUGACGCUCAGGUGCGAAAGCGUGGGGAGCAAACAGGAUUAGAUACCCUGGUAGUCCACGCCGUAAACGAUGUCGAUUUGGAGGUUGUGCCCUUGAGGCGUGGCUUCCGGAGCUAACGCGUUAAAUCGACCGCCUGGGGAGUACGGCCGCAAGGUUAAAACUCAAAUGAAUUGACGGGGGCCCGCACAAGCGGUGGAGCAUGUGGUUUAAUUCGAUGCAACGCGAAGAACCUUACCUGGUCUUGACAUCCACAGAACUUUCCAGAGAUGGAUUGGUGCCUUCGGGAACUGUGAGACAGGUGCUGCAUGGCUGUCGUCAGCUCGUGUUGUGAAAUGUUGGGUUAAGUCCCGCAACGAGCGCAACCCUUAUCCUUUGUUGCCAGCGGUUAGGCCGGGAACUCAAAGGAGACUGCCAGUGAUAAACUGGAGGAAGGUGGGGAUGACGUCAAGUCAUCAUGGCCCUUACGACCAGGGCUACACACGUGCUACAAUGGCAUAUACAAAGAGAAGCGACCUCGCGAGAGCAAGCGGACCUCAUAAAGUAUGUCGUAGUCCGGAUUGGAGUCUGCAACUCGACUCCAUGAAGUCGGAAUCGCUAGUAAUCGUAGAUCAGAAUGCUACGGUGAAUACGUUCCCGGGCCUUGUACACACCGCCCGUCACACCAUGGGAGUGGGUUGCAAAAGAAGUAGGUAGCUUAACCUUCGGGAGGGCGCUUACCACUUUGUGAUUCAUGACUGGGG
rnacentral:rRNA from 1 species